GGAAAUUAAUAAUGGGUAGAUGGGAAAGACAAAGUUUUUAUUUUAUAUCUACUCAGUUCUCACCUUUCUAAACUCAUAUAAAUAUAAUUGAUAAUGGUAACGGGGGGGGGGGGGGGGGGGGGGGGGGGUAAUGUGUCAAAGAGACAACAACCUGUCCAAAGAGCAAAAGACACCUAUGGGUCUUCAACACGGGGAGAAAAUCCUGCAUAUGUAGGUAGGCUUCAGCUGGCUCCACAACAAAUAACAAAUAUGAGUACUAGUUAAACAAAAAAAGACAUCACAUUAAACUCUAAAAUAAAAAUUGAACUAAAAAUAAAAUGAUACAAGACUAACAAAGGCAAGAGGCUCCUGACUGGGGACUUAAACAGGGUUAAACAUGUUUUGUAAGAUCUCUACCCUCCCCCUAUACCUCUAGUUAAUGAAGAAUAAACAAACACACAACACCCUAUAUAAACCACUCAAAAUAAAAGAAAUAUCACACUAACAGCAAUUAACUAAACAACAGCAGGACAAUAAAGACACCUGCUGCAAUAAGCCUUUUGCGCUGAUGCAGCAUAAAGCAAUCUUCAAUCAAUAAAGACACCUUCACAACAGUUAUUUUAGUUUUACAUGUGACAAAAUUAAAUAACGUUAAUACAGAUAUAGACAGUAAAGGAUAUUGUACUUAUAGACAAAUCUUAAAAUGUUAAUCCCGAUAUAGACAGUAGCAGAUUAAAGAAUAUUGUACAGUGAAACCUGACUAAACUGAAUCCUGCAUAAACCAAAAACCUGUAUAAACCAG
rnacentral:lncRNA from 1 species